UGAGCUGUGGAUAGCGGAGAAAUUCCAAUCGAACUCGGAGAUAGCUGGUUCUCCUCGAAAUAGCUUUAGGGCUAGCGUCGGGUAAUUGAGUAGUGGAGGUAGAGCACUGAAUGGGCUAGGGGCUGACAACAGUUACUGAACCCUAUCAAACUCCGAAUGCCAUAUACUUGUACCCCGGCAGUCAGACUACGAAUGAUAAGAUCCGUGGUCAAAAGGGAAACAGCCCAGACCAUCAGCUAAGGUCCCAAAGUGUAAGUUAAGUGGGAAAGGAUGUGGGAUUUCUAAGACAACUAGGAUGUUGGCUUAGAAGCAGCCACUCAUUUAAAGAGUGCGUAAUAGCUCACUAGUCGAGAGAUCCUGCGCCGAAGAUGUAACGGGGCUCAAACUUACCACCGAAGCUAUGGAUGUGUACUUUGUACACGUGGUAGAGGAGCUUUCUGUACAGGUUGAAGUCAUACCGUAAGGAGUGGUGGACAGUACAGAAGUGAGAAUGCUGGCAUAAGUAGCGAAAAACAAGUGAGAAUCUUGUUGACCGAAUAUCUAAGGUUUCCUGGGGAAGGCUCGGCCUCCCAGGGUUAGUCGGGACCUAAGCCGAGGCCGAAAGGCGUAGGUGAUGGACAACUGGUUGAUAUUCCAGUACCACCAUAAUGCG
rnacentral:rRNA from 1 species